CACAAAUUUUUACACUUUUAACAAAGGAAAAUGUGCUUUUUGGGCUUCACUGUACUCAGAUUCCUAACCUUCAUUUUUUCUUCGCUUCUCGCAAUAUGCGUCAUGACAGGAAUUUGUGCAUCGAUCAAUAAACUUGAUCAUUAUAAUCAGAAAAUUCAGAUUAUUUUAUGCUUUACGCUAGCCUUUGAUUUGCUUAUGAACGUAGCAAUAUUCUUAGGACUCUAUGGCGUGAUACGUCGUAUUUUAAAAAAAUAUUUAUCUGUAUAUAUGCGCUUUGGUUUGCUUCUUUGUUGUUAAGAUCACAGUUUCUAAAGCCAUACAGAAUUUUGAUAAAAAGGAAACUGAUAUUAUCAUCACUUUUUUGGUAUCAAUUGGACGUAGUCCUGGCUGGCUUUUGCUUGAUGACUGCCACUCCAUUCUCUUUGAAGUUAUCGGAGAAACAAGAUGAUAUCGUAUAAAUUGAAGUUUGUGGCGUUUAAAUUUUAAGUUAAUAGUGCAAAGGAUAUUUUCUGUAACAGUCGAUUAACAGCUGUAAUCCUUAUUGAAGUUUGUAUAUCAUUUAAAUCGAGCUUAACUACACGAUUGGCCAACUGCGAAGGCUGAUGAGACAUUCGAUUUGGCAUUGCAGAUAGCUGAAAUGUGUGAGUUUGUGUGGGCAAUCAAAUUACAUGCGGAAUUAUGGACAUACAAAACACCCGCAGGAUGACAACACAACAACAGCCAUAGCAAUGGAAACCAAUAAAGAUGACGAUGACAAGAUAAACGAAAAGUUGUGACUGUGAAGAGAGCUGGGGGUCAAUGACUGUGUCUGCUUUAAAUGAAAUUUAACGAUGCACACAAAUAAUGGCACUUUGCAUUUUAAAACACUUUCGGCGACUGCGAACUGCGAACUGCAAAGUGUCGAGGCGGUCAAAAGUCAAACCAAGUGCGGAUGCGACAUUGACAUUCAAUUGGACGACGCACAAACGAAGCGACGAAGUCCCUUGCUCUCUGAGCUCUCCGAUGUUCAUUAUACGCAUUUCAUUUGACACUUUUAUUGGCCCAGCUGUCCAUGAAGCUGAUAUUUCACACUUUGCCACACCAAGAGUGGCGGAGGAGAAAAUGGUGCAAAUUAAAUGUGUAAUGCUGGGCUCCAUUUAUGCGGGUCAUUUUAUAGCCAGAAACGGAUGUGAAUGCGGUUACGGAUAUACCGAUAAGGCCAUUAAAUAUCUGCAGCACUUUUGCUGGCCAUAAACUCCGGCCCCCCUCAAAACCGUCCACAUCACUCAGCCAUCUCCAAUGCCAUCUCUUCAACGCCAACGCCAACGCCAACGCCAUCAGCACUCAGCCAAUUACGCAAAUAAAAAAUACAGCACAGCGCAGAAAAAAACAAACGAGUGUACUUUCUACUUAUAUGGAAACGUGUCAAAGUGCUGAAAAAUGCAACAGCUUUUCCACGGUAAAGGAGUGUAAAAUGUGUGAGUGUGUGUGUGUGGGAGGACUUUUCCGCUGAGUGGCUCAUUAGGCGCUGAGGCUGCCCCCAAGGUGUUGCUGGUAAAUUGCGUGGAAAAAAUUACACUCACCGAGUGUGCUGCACACCUUGAGUGGAAAAGCAUUCAAGCAUGCUAGAUACUCGCAUUACUAACAGAUAUCUCAGCGCCGUGGGCGAUUUUCAUCAGCUGGCCAAAACUGAAUGGCAAAGAAAUUUCAAUUGUCGCCAAAGCGCACAAGGCACAGCAGCUGUUUUUGGAAGGCGGCGAUAGCUUUGCCCAAAACAGAGCAGAACAGCCGAACAGCAUGUCGUCGCCAUCCUGACUCAUGUCCUGGGGCUGAUUAAAAUCUAUUAGAGUCAAAGAGAUGUAAGACACUGAGCUGGACCCCGAACAGCGGUCCAGGCGGUUCGACUGGGUGUAGAGUGGGGAACAGGGCAAAGAAUGCUUGACAGCUGCGGGGUUGCAGAGGGGUGUUAUGUCUGCUUUUGGCCAAUGACUUGGCAUGUAAAUGUCGACGCAAUUGAAAUGCAUGCGGCGGAAACUUCCAACUUGCUAUAACUAGAGCAACACAAAAGCGCGGGCAUUAUUGUUUUCUCAUUAAGUUUAGUACGCUAAAGAAAUUUUAAUUCUGUUUAAGGUGGCAUCUUUUAUAAAUAGUAUUGAAUAUUCUAAAAAAAAGUACAUUUUACUUGAUAUGUUAAUAGACGAUUGAGGUAG